rnacentral:lncRNA from 1 species
GGAUGGUGGAUGCAGCUCUCCCAGUCAUCGUUCGUGAAUAGUUCACAUUCUUAGCUCUGUGAUUCUGUGUGUACCCAGGAACAUGGAUCGGUGCCACCAGUUGUUCGUUAUUCCUCCACUGCAGACGACCGAGUAUCGCGAACACUGAACAGUCACCACCGUAGCACGAAAGUGUCGAUUGCAGGACCUUUGACGCAGUACAUGUACUCGUAAUGGGACGUAGCAGGCGGACUGGCUGUGACGCACC